GAUGAACGCUAGCGGCAGGCCUAACACAUGCAAGUCGAGGGGCAGCACAGGUAGCAAUACUGGGUGGCGACCGGCGGAUGGGUGCGUAACGCGUAUGCAACCUACCAUUGAUUGGGGCAUAGCCCGAAGAAAUUCGGAUUAAUACUCCAUAAUAUUCAUCAAAGGCAUCUUUUAUGAAUUAAAGCUUUUGCGAUCAAUGAUGGGCAUGCGUGACAUUAGUUAGUUGGUGAGGUAACGGCUCACCAAAACGAUGAUGUCUAGGGGUUCUGAGAGGAUUAUCCCCCACACUGGUACUGAGACACGGACCAGACUCCUACGGGAGGCAGCAGUGAGGAAUAUUGGUCAAUGGACGCAAGUCUGAACCAGCCAUGCCGCGUGCAGGAUGACGGCCCUAUGGGUUGUAAACUGCUUUUCCACGGGAAGAACCCUCCGACGUGUCGGAGACUGACGGUACCGUGGGAAUAAGCAUCGCUAACUCCGUCG
rnacentral:rRNA from 1 species